rnacentral:rRNA from 1 species
UGGCGAACGGGUGAGUAACGCGUGAGGAACCUGCCUCAAAGAGGGGGACAACAGUUGGAAACGACUGCUAAUACCGCAUAAGCCCACGACCUGGCAUCGGGUUGAGGGAAAAGGAGCAAUCCGCUUUGAGAUGGCCUCGCGUCCGAUUAGCUAGUUGGUGAGGUAACGGCCCACCAAGGCAACGAUCGGUAGCCGGACUGAGAGGUUGAACGGCCACAUUGGGACUGAGACACGGCCCAG